GGAUCCAGACUUUGAUUCUGGCUCAGGAUGAACGCUAGCGGCAGGCUUAACACAUGCAAGUCGAGGGGCAGCGCGGGGCAGCAAUGUUCUGGCGGCGACCGGCGGAAGGGUGCGUAACGCGUGAGCGACAUGCCCGUUGCCCGGGGACAACCGGUGGAAACGCCGACUAAUCCCCGAUGGGACGGAGGCCCUCAUGGGUCUCCGUUGAAAGUUACGGCGGCGACGGAUUGGCUCGCGUCCGAUUAGCUUGUUGGCGGGGUAACGGCCCACCAAGGCUACGAUCGGUAGGGGUUCUGAGAGGAAGGUCCCCCACAAUGGAACUGAGACACGGUCCAUACUCCUACGGGAGGCAGCAGUGAGGAAUAUUGGUCAAUGGGCGGAAGCCUGAACCAGCCAUGCCGCGUGCGGGAAGGAGGCCCUAUGGGCUGUGAACCGCUUUUGCCUGGGGGCAAUAAGGGCGUCGUGCACGUCCGAUGAGAGUACCAGGCGAAUAAGCAUCGGCUAACUCCGUGCCAGCAGCCGCGGUAAUACGGGGGAUGCGAGCGUUAUCCGGAUUCAUUGGGUUUAAAGGGUGCGUAGGCUGUGCGUCAAGUCAGGGGUGAAAUUCCGGGGCUCAACUCCGGGGCUGCCCUUGAUACUGUCGCGCUGGAGUGCGGAUGCCGCCGGAGGAAUGAGUGGUGUAGCGGUGAAAUGCUUAGAUAUCACUCAGAACACCGAUUGCGAAGGCAUCUGGCGAAUCCGUAACUGACGCUGAGGCACGAAAGCGUGGGGAUAGAACAGGAUUAGAUACCCUGGUAUUCCACGCCGUAAACGAUGAUGGCUAACCGCCGGCGACACACUGUCGGUGGCCAAGCGAAAGCGAUAAGCCAUCCACCUGGGGAGUACGUCGGCAACGAUGCAACUCAAAUGAAUUGACGG
rnacentral:rRNA from 1 species